rfam:Loxodonta africana unplaced genomic scaffold scaffold_38, whole genome shotgun sequence.
ACAGUGGUGGUUUAGUGGUAGAAUUCUUACCUUCCAUGUGGUAGACCCAGGUUCAGUUCCUGGCCAGUGCA